AUGCAAACACAGCAUGCCCUUUGCACAUCGUCAGAGCAGCUGAGUGCACAGGUGAAAGCCUGUGUUUUGCAGAUGCAUCUCAGUGCUUUCUCCUCUUCUCUGUUUCAAAUCCUGUCCCACUGGGGUGCAGAGAACAUUUUUAGAAGUCUCCUCAGCAUCUUGUUUGCGGUGACACCCUGGGAAAGCAGCGCUGUCUUUUCCUUCUGCUGGAGGGGUAUAAAGAUGAAGCUGGACUAAAAUUGAUGUCUUCGACCAGGACACUUAACAUUCAGAAGCCAAACCUACCAGCACAGGGAGUGAUA
rnacentral:lncRNA from 1 species